GACGAACGCUGGCGGCGUGCUUAACACAUGCAAGUCGAACGGAAAGGCCCUGCUUUUGUGGGGUGCUCGAGUGGCGAACGGGUGAGUAACACGUGAGUAACCUGCCCUUGACUUUGGGAUAACUUCAGGAAACUGGGGCUAAUACCGGAUAGGAGCUCCUGCUGCAUGGUGGGGGUUGGAAAGUUUCGGCGGUUGGGGAUGGACUCGCGGCUUAUCAGCUUGUUGGUGGGGUAGUGGCUUACCAAGGCUUUGACGGGUAGCCGGCCUGAGAGGGUGACCGGCCACAUUGGGACUGAGAUACGGCCCAGACUCCUACGGGAGGCAGCAGUGGGGAAUAUUGCACAAUGGGCGGAAGCCUGAUGCAGCAACGCCGCGUGUGGGAUGACGGCCUUCGAGUUGUAAACCGCUUUCGCCUGUGACGAAGCGUGAGUGACGGUAAUGGGUAAAGAAGCACCGGCUAACUACGUG
rnacentral:rRNA from 1 species